rnacentral:rRNA from 1 species
UGCCAGCAGCCGCGGUAAUACGGAGGGGGCUAGCGUUGUUCGGAAUUACUGGGCGUAAAGCGCACGUAGGCGGACUAUUAAGUUAGAGGUGAAAUCCCGGGGCUCAACCCCGGAACUGCAUUGGAAACCGGCGAACUUGAGUACGGGAGAGGAAAGUGGAAUUCCGAGUGUAGGGGUGAAAUCCGUAGAUAUUCGGAGGAACACCAGUGGCGAAGGCGGCUUUCUGGACCGAUACUGACGCUGAGACGCGAAAGCGUGGGGAGCAAACAGGAUUAGAUA